GACCUAACCCUCAGGAUAAUUCUUGAGGUAUGGUCGAAAAGCGCGAUCAACGUAAAAACCCCGGCAUCAGGGGCGUUGAUCGCGUUACGUGGGGAAACCUGCGUAGGGGCCGUAAGGCUCAC
rnacentral:sRNA from 12 species